rnacentral:rRNA from 1 species
CAUGCAAGUCGUACGAGAAAGGGUCCUUCGGGAUCUGAGUAAAGUGGCGCACGGGUGAGUAACGCGUGGAUAAUCUGCCCCUCAGUUGGGAAUAACUCAUCGAAAGGUGGGCUAAUACCGAAUAAUACUGCAAGACCUUGGUCGAGCAGUCAAAGAGAGCCUCUGCUUGCAAGCCCUCGCUGAAGGAUGAGUCCGCGUACCAUUAGCUAGUUGGUAGGGUAAUGGCCUACCAAGGCGACGAUGGUUAGCUGGUCUGAGAGGAUGAUCAGCCACACUGGAACUGAGACACGGUCCAGACUCCUACGGGAGGCAGCAGUGAGGAAUCUUGCGCAAUGGGGGCAACCCUGACGCAGCAACGCCGCGUGAGUGAGGAAGGUCUUCGGAUCGUAAAGCUCUGUCAGAUGGAAAGAACCGCAUAGGGAUAAAUAGUCCCUGUGUCUGACGGUACCAUCAGAGGAAGCACCGGCUAACUCCGUGCCAGCAGCCGCGGUAAUACGGGGGGUGCAAGCGUUGUUCGGAAUUAUUGGGCGUAAAGAGCGUGUAGGCGGCCGGAUGUGUCAGAUGUGAAAGCCCUGGGCUCAACCCAGGAAGUGCAUUUGAAACUGUUCGGCUUGAGUAGGGGAGAGGGAAGUGGAAUUCCUGGUGUAGAGGUGAAAUUCGUAGAUAUCAGGAGGAACACCGGUGGCGAAGGCGACUUCCUGGCCCUAUACUGACGCUGAGACGCGAGAGCGUGGGUAGCAAACAGGAUUAGAUACCCUGGUAGUCCACGCCGUAAACGAUGUUCACUAGGUGUUGGGGGUAUUGACCCCCUCAGUGCCGGAGCUAACGCAUUAAGUGAACCGCCUGGGGAGUACGGUCGCAAGACUAAAACUCAAAGGAAUUGAC